UACGGGGGGGGGUAAGCGUUGUUCGGAAUUACUGGGCGUAAAGGGCUCGUAGGCGGCCAACUAAGUCAGACGUGAAAUCCCUCAGCUUAACUGGGGAACUGCGUCUGAUACUGGAUGGCUUGGAUUCGGGAGAGGAAUGCGGAAUUCCAGGUGUAGCGGUGAAAUGCGCAGAUAUCAGGAGGAACACCCAUGGCGAAGGCAGCAAACUGGUCAUCAACUGACGCUGAGGCGCGAAAAGCGUGGGGGAGCGAUCCGG
rnacentral:rRNA from 1 species